rnacentral:rRNA from 1 species
CACAAAACUUUAUCACAAUCGCGGAGAAACCCGCGAUAAGGGGAUACCGAGUCGCCAGCUCUUAUUGUUGGCUGUCCACAUGUGUAAACGGCAUGUGUUAGCAAGGGCCGGGCAAGACCGGGGCCAGCCGCCGCGGUAACACCGGCGGCCCGAGUGGUAAUCACUUUUAUUGGGUCUAAAGGGUCCGUAGCCGGUUUGAUCAGUUCUUCGGGAAAUCUGACAGCUCACCUGUUAGGCUUCCGGGGAAUACUGUCAGACUUGGGACCGGGAGAGGUAAGAGGUACUACAGGGGGAGGAGGGAAAUCUUGUAAUCCCUGGGGGGCCCACCAGUGGGGAAGGGGUUUUUUUACAAAAGGGGGCCCAAGUGGGGGGAACAAAAGCUGGGGGCACAAACCGGAUUAAAUACCCGGGUAGUCCCAGCCGUAAACAAUGUUCCCUAGGGGUCAGGGACGGGGCGACCGUUUCUGGGGCCGUAGGGAAGCCGUGAAGCGACCCACCUGGAAAGUACGGCCCAAGGUUAAACUUAAAGAAAUGGGGGGGGGAAGGGCAAAUCCGCGGCGCCAAAUUCAUUUCCCCUUUAGUGGGUCGAUUAAAUUCCCUGGCGGUGGUUUAAAA